rnacentral:rRNA from 1 species
CAGCCGCCGCGGGAAUACCGAGGGUGCGAGCGUUAAUCGGAUUUACUGGGCGUAAAGCGUGCGUAGGCGGCUAAUUGAGUCGGAUGUGAAAUCCCCGAGCUUAACUUGGGAAUUGCAUUCGAUACUGGUUAGCUAGAGUGUGGGAGAGGAUGGUAGAAUUCCAGGUGUAGCGGUGAAAUGCGUAGAGAUCUGGAGGAAUACCGAUGGCGAAGGCAGCCAUCUGGCCUAACACUGACGCUGAGGUACGAAAGCAUGGGGAGCAAACAGGAUUAGAUACCCGCGUAGUCCCUGUCUCUUAUAC